rnacentral:rRNA from 1 species
UGGGGAAUAUUGCACAAUGGGCGCAAGCCUGAUGCAGCCAUGCCGCGUGUGUGAAGAAGGCCUUCGGGUUGUAAAGCACUUUCAGCGGGGAGGAAGGCGAUAAGGUUAAUAACCUUGUCGAUUGACGUUACCCGCAGAAGAAGCACCGGCUAACUCCGUGCCAGCAGCAGCGGUAAUACGGAGGGUGCAAGCGUUAAUCGGAAUUACUGGGCGUAAAGCGCACGCAGGCGGUUGAUUGAGUCAGAUGUGAAAUCCCCGGGCUUAACCCGGGAAUUGCAUCUGAUACUGGUCAGCUAGAGUCUUGUAGAGGGGGGUAGAAUUCCAUGUGUAGCGGUGAAAUGCGUAGAGAUGUGGAGGAAUACCGGUGGCGAAGGCGGCCCCCUGGACAAAGACUGACGCUCAGGUGCGAAAGCGUGGGGAGCAAACAGG